rnacentral:lncRNA from 1 species
UAGAAAUCUCUUUUGUCUCUGAAGCAGCAGCAGCAGCAGCAACAGCAGCAGCAGCAGCAGCAGCAGCAGCAGCAGCAGCAGCAGCGUGUAAUAAAUGAAAAUGAGAUACAGGAAAUAUGUCUGCCAGAGAACACUAGAAUCUCCAUGCCUCUCUAUGAUGACCCCAUGUUGUUUUCUGAGACAUACUCCAUCACAGUUUCGGCUGAACUGCCCAUUGAUUUCAUUCAACAGCCAAUUGAGUACGAACAAGAUAUCACUCUUGGGUUUCUCCAAGAUGAUCGGCGUCUGCCUUCUCCUUCAGCAUUUACUCCAACCAUGUUCAUUCCAACCACUGACUUAGCCAUCCUCGACACACAGCAGCUACCUGUCCAUCCGUGGGAGCCACCCCAGGUCCCCCAGAGUGAGGUCUGCCUUCAGAUUCAUACUCCUGAGACAGUCCAGGAAAGUCAGACCCCAGGGACACCCCAACUAUUGCAGUCACCCUCUGUGGGCUAUUUCCGGCAUCCCCAGCAGCCCGACACAGAGUUGUCCGACAUGUAGGCUCCGUGACGGACAGGGCUGUAGCGAUAAGAAGAAUGCUAGCUAGAGCCCAUGGCAAAGCAAGUUGCAAGGGGGAGUGGAAGCUCCUGGAGUAGAAGAACCAACCCAGAAGGAGGGGGACUCUGGG